CACGUAGGGCGCAAGCGUUGUCCGGAAUUAUUGGGCGUAAAGAGCUCGUAGGCGGUCUGUUGCGUCCGCUGUGAAAACUCGGGGCUUAACCCCGAGCCUGCAGUGGAUACGGGCAGACUAGAGGUAGGUAGGGGAGAACGGAAUUCCUGGUGUAGCGGUGAAAUGCGCAGAUAUCUGGAGGAACACCGGUGGCGAAGGCGGCAUCCUGGACCGGUAUUGACGCUGAGGCGCGAAAGCUAGGGGAGCAAACGGG
rnacentral:rRNA from 1 species